UACGUAGGGUGCAAGCGUUAAUCGGAAUUACUGGGCGUAAAGCGUGCGCAGGCGGUUGUGCAAGACAGAUGUGAAAUCCCCGGGCUUAACCUGGGAACUGCAUUUGUGACUGCACGGCUAGAGUGUGUCAGAGGGGGGUAGAAUUCCACGUGUAGCAGUGAAAUGCGUAGAGAUGUGGAGGAAUACCGAUGGCGAAGGCAGCCCCCUGGGAUAACACUGACGCUCGUGCACGAAAGCGUGGGGAGCAAACAGG
rnacentral:rRNA from 1 species